AGGAAGAAGAAGAAAAAAAAAAUCAGUAUUUAAAAUUAGUAAAAAUUUGGCAAAGAGAGCUGAGGUCUGAUGGUGCAGGCAGAACCUUUCAUCAAAUGCAAGCCCUGACUGUAAAUUCAGAACUUGUCUAUAUCUGCUCCAGUUUAUCUAAUAAUUAGUGACAAAAGAAUAAAGGGAAAAAAAAAUUAACUUGAAUGAUUAAUAGUAAGAAGUUAAGUGCCAUUAGUAGGGUUCAACUCCUGCAAAUAUUCAAACCAGUUCACACUUGGAAACUACUUGAACCAUGGGCAUCAGCUGCAUCAGUACCAUGAGUCUCAGUGAGUCUGCAAAGAUCAUGGGUACUGCAUCUUCUCUCUUUUAAUUUAUAAAAAGACUUGAGAUGAAAAUUAUUGAAGAUCUAAAAUGUAAAUAAAUUUCUAAUUUAUAACAAAACAGUUAUUUUCUUUGACUAUCUAUGUUUUAUAAUUUCAUUUAUACCUGUAUUUAUUUAGCACAUUUCAAGCCUAAUUAUUUUGCUAAAUUAUCAAAUAUUUACAUUUAAUCAUUAUCAGUAAUCUAUCUAGCUAAAAAAUAGGCACCAUUCCUGCUUCCCAUAUGAGUGGGUUGUUCAACUGAUAAGCCCCAAUUUUUUUAAUACUCCACAGAAAUGUUAAUUUGAGCACUUAUCAACCUAUGCAUGCCUGAACAAAAACAAAAUGGGUUCAAUAAUGCUGAAAGAUAAAAGAACAGACUAUAAUCACUUACAGAGACAUUAUAAAUUUACACACUACUGAAGUUCAUGUUUUAUUUUCCAGCCUACAGCUUGUAUUAUACAAACAUACAAAAGUGCAGUUGUAUAAUGUUUAAGUAUGUCAAAGUGGCAGCUGUUGGACAGAGUAUUCAGCCAUGACAGUUCUAUUCCAAAUGUAAAUGUCCUCAUACACCAAAUCUUAUUGUAGCUGUUGGUCAAUUGAUUCUGAUCUAUGCUUUGCUAUACACAUUCGGGCAUUAACUUGCUUACAUUAUUUACAUUAUCUACAUUUGACGGAUAUUCGUCCUCAUCUUGUUUGUUGUUGAAUAUCCGUCAAAUGUAGAUAAUGUAAAUAAUGUAAAUAAUUCCUCAUCUCUUAAAUAUAGAACUGUAUUAACUUGCUUAGUAGACUAAUCUACAUCAUACCAGUAUGGUGGAAUAAAUGCUUAAAUGCUGCAAAACACCCCUUUUUUAUGUGGAUACUAAAUUUCAGAUUCAUAACAAACCUCUUCACUCCAAGAAUUCUUUGAUGUAUUUUUAACCUGUAGCAGUCUCUACGUAAUUCUUAUUUAUUCUCUCCAUAUGUACAUAGUAUUGGAACUGUCAUUAUUUACUGUUUUUUUCUUUUUCCAGAAAAAUAUGUAAUGAUAAUUACCUAAUGUGCUUAUUAUUACCACUGUUACUUUUCCAAAGACUUUGGUUCUGGAUUCAUAGCUAAAACUUCUUUUGAGCCCCGACUCUUCCAGCAUUUUAACUGCAGUUAGGCCUUGAGAGUUUUUUUUAUUUCCCAAAUAUAACAGCACAGCUAUUAUCAACAGUGAAAUGAUAAAUUAUAAGCUAUAUGACAGACUAGUGUCCAUUCAAGGGCAAUGUUGUGAUCUCAGUCACUUAUAUGCUAUGGAAACUGGGUAACUGGCCUGAGCAGUCUUAGGGUUCAAAACAGAAGAAAAAAAACUGUAAAGCAAAGCAGGAGGUUCCAUUGUCUGGUGGAAGUGCAACUGACAAAGAAUGAAUGUGAUUUUGCUUUAACUUCAUCACCUCAAAGACUGAAUAUACCACAGAAAAUAUCCAAAGUAGACACAAGGCAGCUAGAGAAGCUCCAUGGAGAUACUCAACUAAAUGUAUGAGUACCCACACCAAGAAACUCAACAGUCUUUGAAAUGAAGCACUUCAUACUUUUAGCUCAAAUUCUAAAAGCCAAUAAAUGUGCCUGUACAUGACAACUUGGCCUGCUAGAUAUAACAGGUUAAAAGACAUAUAGGUUAUUGCAGUUCUAGACAUUACAUCUGAAUAAAGAAUGAUGGUUGUAGCUGGAACACCUUUGAUUAACCUGCGAGAAACAGCAACCAAAUUUCUCUCAAAUCCUAUUCUACCAUCUUAGAAAAGAUAGAUUGAAUAAUGUAAGUCUACUCAGUCAGGAUUGGCAUAAAGUUAAACAACAACAGCAAAACUCCUUAAAGCACCAAGAACACUUCUAUAUGGUCACACAACUUGCUAGAAAUAGCCACUCAAUCUCUCUCAGACAAACUGACUGUCUUUAAAAAAUGCAGUCACAUUAAAUAAUGUAGGUCUAGAUACAUUAUAUCUGAAUAAAUUAAGGGUUAGUCACAGCUAGAACAUUUUUGAAUCAUAGAUCUACAGGAUCAGGACAUAAGGGUUAACAUAAGGCUAAAAAACAUCUACAACACUAAAAUAGAAAAGUGGAUUUUAUAUUAAUCCUGUUGUGAAACUCCACAGUCCAUUCUCUACUCUGGUUUCUGUAGAUCAUCCAGAGAAUUAAAAAAUCUAAACUACUAAAUAAAUAUGCAAGUUAUAUCAGGUGCUGAUAUUUUAAAUUGUAGAGAACUGUAAUAUAAAUAGCAGAACUAUAUCCUUGUUUGUCAAACUUAGGGAGGUGAAAUAUUUAUAAUUACCACUAAACAGAUGUGACCAAAUUAUAGGUGGAAAAUGAAGAACAUAUGGCUUAUUUGGGAUUUGUUCAAGGUUAUUUUGCUUUUGUUUUCUUUGAAUUAUUAUUUUUUUUUUGCUUCUUUUAUACACAACCUCAUACAUGUCUAUACAGACACACAUGUAUGUAAAUAUACUCAUACAUAUAUAUAAACUCA